rnacentral:rRNA from 1 species
UACGGAGGAUGCAAGCGUUAUCCGGAAUGAUUGGGCGUAAAGCGUCCGCAGGUGGCUAUGUAAGUCUGCUGUUAAAGAGUGAGGCUCAACCUCAUAAGAGCAGUGGAAACUACAUGGCUAGAGUGCGUUCGGGGCAGAGGGAAUUCCUGGUGUAGCGGUGAAAUGCGUAGAUAUCAGGAAGAACACCGGUGGCGAAAGCGCUCUGCUGGGCCGCAACUGACACUGAGGGACGAAAGCUAGGGGAGCGAAUGGG